CGGAGGAUCCAAGCGUUAUCCGGAAUCAUUGGGUUUAAAGGGUCCGUAGGCGGUUUGAUAAGUCAGUGGUGAAAGCCCAUCGCUCAACGAUGGAACGGCCAUUGAUACUGUCAGACUUGAAUUACUGGGAAGUAACCAGAAUAUGUAGUGUAGCGGUGAAAUGCUUAGAUAUUACAUGGAAUACCAAUUGCGAAGGCAGGUUACUACCAGUGGAUUGACGCUGAUGGACGAAAGCGUGGGGAGCGAACAGGAUUAGAUACCCUGGUAGUCCACGCCGUAAACGAUGGAUACUAGCUGUUGGGCGCAAGUUCAGUGGCUAAGCGAAAGUGAUAAGUAUCCCACCUGGGGAGUACGUUCGCAAGAAUG
rnacentral:rRNA from 1 species